UACGAAGGGAGCUAGCGUUGUUCGGAAUUACUGGGCGUAAAGGGCGCGUAGGCGGGUUUCCAAGUCGGGGGUGAAAUUCCAGGGCUCAACCCUGGGACGGCCUUCGAUACUGGCAGCCUGGAGAUCGGGAGAGGUGAGUGGAAUUCCGAGUGUAGAGGUGAAAUUCGUAGAUAUUCGGAAGAACACCAGUGGCGAAGGCGACAUACUGGUCCGGUACUGACGCUGAGGUGCGAAAGCGUGGGGAGCAAACAGG
rnacentral:rRNA from 1 species